rnacentral:lncRNA from 1 species
UUGAGCACCCAUUCCACAAAUUGCUAGCUUGCCAAUCCAAGCACAAACACAGGAAGGAAGCAAAGAGCCGAACAAUCGAGGAUGGUAAAGAAGAACUCCUCUGCGACCUCGGCCAGGCUGAUGCUCACCCUCCUUGUUCUCCUGGCUUUCGUUGGCGGCAUCCUCGCACGGGGUGGACCGUCCACCUGCAGCAACCGUAAGCAAGCUACCACAGCCGCUGUUUCCAUGCACAUGCAUGUGAUCCAAACAAAAUAAAUCAUGUACGUACUCCUUUCUUUCUAGCUGAUUAACUUGUUUUUCGUUCAUCACUUGUGGCAGCCGCGGCUCAGCGAAACUGCCCGUCGAUCCCUGGUGGUGGCUCAUAAGCACGACCUAUGGACCAUUUCUAUGCAUGAAGCACGGGAUUUAGUAGGCCGGCCCUCGCGUUCGCCGGCGCCGAUAUCGAUGUGAACCGAAUAAUAUUGUAAUAUGUUCUUUAGGCGUCGAUUGGUGUGUGUAUGUUCCUCGUAAUUUUGUUUGUAUUGUGGCCUGGUUUAUAAAUAGGUAGUACUACAAUGAGUCGGGGAGUUCUCCUGCCCAUGCUGGACUUUGAUUAUUGGAUCUGAUGGCCAAAAAUAAAUAAAAAUUAAGAGCCAUCUAUGAGUAUAUAUCGGUGUAUUUUUUUAACAGUAUUUAACUAUAUGCCGGUGACCCGGUGUGUGUUUCAGUAAGGAAGUAUUUGUGUUGCCCGAUGAGUAUAUGAUUUUUACUUCGUU